GACGAACCGUGCGAACGUUAUUCGGAAUCACUGGGCUUAAAGCGCGUGUAGGCGGGUCGGCACGUCGGUCGCUGAAAUCCCCCGGCUCAACCGGGGAAGGGGCGCCGAUACGGCCGGCCUGGAGGGACGUAGGGGGGGCUGGAACUUCCGGUGGAGCGGUGAAAUGCGUUGAGAUCGGAAGGAACGCCCGUGGCGAAAGCGAGCCCCUGGACGUCUACUGACGCUGAGACGCGAAAGCCAGGGGAGCGGAACGGG
rnacentral:rRNA from 1 species